rnacentral:lncRNA from 1 species
GGAACACAGGAUCGAAGCUUCGGCUUGAACUCUGAACCACAAUUCAUCUGAAAUCCAAAGUCAACUGACACACUGUCAUCUGAACCCAAUCUGAGGAAUCAAGUCACCAACAGGACCACAAGUCACCAACUAGUCACCGACAAGUCACCAACUGUACCUGUAAUAAUGAUCAUUCCCUCCCCACUCACGGGUGUCAUCUAGGCCAGGGUAAGGUCG